rnacentral:lncRNA from 1 species
UUCAAUAAACUCAUAAUAAAUCCAAAAUAUAAUUCUAUAACAAAACUCCCAAAAUCGGUGAAACUGAGUCAUAAGCUCUAUACGAGUAUAUUGUAAAAUCCCUAGUACAACACUGUCUAGAUAAAGAAUAAACAAUAGUAAAAUAAGGACAGAAGGUGACUCCGACGCCUGCGGACACCGGGCAGGUAUACCUUGAAGUCUCCGAACUGUAUGAUCCACUCACUGAUGCCUAGCCUGAGUCGAGGUACCUGGAUCUGUACAAAUAUGUGCAGAAGAGUAGUAUGAGUACACCACAACGCUACCCAGUAAGUAUCAAGCCUAACCUCGGUAGAAUAGUGACGAGGGAUCAAGACACCUACUAGGAUAAGAAGAAACUGAAUAGGUAUAGCCUAGUCUAAUAAUGAAAACAGGGAAUAGUGGCAAUAAAGCAAUACAACAAGGUAAGCUACAACUGAAUUUAAAGCAAUAAAGGCAACAAGAAAGGAAACAUAGUAAGAACAUCAAGAAAACAAUGCGGACAAAUACAAGUGAGGCCAAUGAGAGGUAACAAAAACAAUCGCAACCGAGGUACCACCUCGUAAUCUCAUUUCAUAAUCACAAUAUUUCCUUAUACCGUCGCGUGAGCCUUACAUUUAGAUAGUUUUGAAAAUAUUUUUCCCAAAAUAGCUACACGCACUUUAGCCCACCUUAUGUCACCUCGUGGCUUCAAGUAAUUUCCUUACUAGCAACACACACAUAGAUCCCACCUUAUGUUGCCGCAUGCAAAUUAACCCUUAUUCUUUUACCGCUGCAUGCAUAUCAAUAUCACAAUAUAAUUACAACUCCCACCACAAGUGCCCAUAUGCCACAACUUGCCAAAAGAAUAAACAAUACUAAUAUUUUCACAACAAAUAACAAUGGCUCAACCAUAAUAUGUACAAGAGUCUCAACAAUAACAAGAUAAUAGUGAAUAGCUCAACAAGAAUGAUAUCUCAACAAUUAACAACUUCGCCUCAAAGUGAUAACGGCUUUUACAACUUCAACACCAAUAACUAAACAAGAAUAUAUUCCAUGAAAUAACAACUUCAAGUAAGUAAUUCAACAAUUAAAGAAGUAACAAGACAAUAAGGAAGGCAAUAACUUCAACUAAAGCAUAUAAGAGCCAAAUAAUAAGUAAGAGGUGGAACAAGUGCUAACAAUGUCAAAUAAAGCAUACGAGGGUAGAUUAACAUAUGUAAGGGUAGAUUAACAAUGAAAGAUAUAACAUAUUAUGACAAUUCAAUUAAAGGCAUGAAAAGAGUCUAAAUAGCCUAUACUGUCAAAUACCACAUAUAGCCCGUGUACCCACUCGUCACCUUGCGUACACGGCUCUCAUAUAACACAAAUAGCACAAACAACUCCAAUCCUAAGGGGUAGUUCCCCCACACAAAGUUAGGGAAGAUACUUACCUCAAACAAGCUAACUCAAUCCACUAGUAAGCCUUUCCACGAAUAUCCAACUCCGAACGGCUC